AGCAGCCGCGGUAAUUCCAGCUCCAAUAGCGUAUAUUAAAGUUGUUGCAGUUAAAAAGCUCGUAGUUGAAUUUUAGGCCUGGCCGGGCGGUCCGUCUUUGGCGAGUACUGUCCUGUGUCGGGUCUUCCUUCUGGUGAACCAGUAUGUCCUUUAUUGGGUGUGCCGGGGAGCCAGGACCAUUACCUUGAAAAAUUAGAGUGUUUAAAGCGGGCAUUUGCUUGAAUAGAUUAGCAUGGAAUAAUAGAAUAGGACGUUUGUGGUUCUAUUUUGUUGGUUUCUAGGACCACCGUAAUGAUUAAUAGGGAUAGUUGGGGGCAUUAGUAUUCAAUUGUCAGAGGUGAAAUUCUUGGAUUUAUUGAAGACUAACUAUUGCGAAAGCAUUUGCCAAGGAUGUUUUCAUUAAUCAAGAACGAAAGUUAGGGGAUCGAAGACGAUCAGAUACCGUCGUAGUCUUAACCAUAAACUAUG
rnacentral:rRNA from 1 species